ensembl:lncRNA
GUCCAAAAACUUUCUGCCUUGGGCUAUAUGCCCAUAUUAUUUAUCAGCCAGAGGCACAAGGGCACAGGCAAGUUGAUGGCAGAUGUAGUCACGCAUCUGCCACCGACGCAAAAAACAACACACGUUUCUUAACCAGCAUGAAGAGGGCAUAUGACUUCAUAAUCAAACUGGAUGGUAAGAUAAGUUUUAUGUAUAGUUCAUUAGUGGUUGUCGUUGAUUUCUUUGACAAUGUGUACUGAAUUUAUAUUUUUGCUAACUUCACAACAGAUGUGCCCCAGCCCCAGCCCCAGCAAGACCAGCCCCUCCACCUAGACCAACCCCUACCCCAAGACCAGCCCCUGCCCCUAGACCAGCUAAUCCCACAAGACCAGCCCCCCAGACCAGCCUCUGCCCCUAGACCAGCCCCAGAAAGACCAGCCCCUGCCCCUAGACCAGCUAAUCCCACAAGACCAGCCCCUAGACCAGCCCCAGAAAGACCAGCCCCUGUCCCUAGACCAGCUAAUCCCACAAGACCAGCCUACCCCAACAGACCAGCAAAUUAUUAAACUUGAACUAUUUACGAUCGACUCACAGGCUCAGCAGCAUGUGGAGCCUCUACCACCCAGGAAAAAGACAAACCCCACUAUCCACCCCGGGCCUACCAUCCACCCCAGGCCAAGGCAAACGAGCCCCACCAUCCAUCCAACCUCAACUAAAGAAAAGACAAACCACAGGUAAAGGAGCCACACAAGCCCCACCCUCUACCCUGGCCAAAAAGAAGAAAACAAAAAGUUGCAAAUGCAGUCGACAGACAAUUUAUCCAUACGAUAAAAUAUUGGAAAGACGGAUGAAUGGGGGGAAGGCAGCAGAGGUCAAAGUGCACUGGCUACCUUGCUCUUCCUGUGGCAGAGUCUGGGAGGACACCUGGGAGCCGGCCAGCAAAUUCGCCUGAUGACCAAUACUGUUGUACUAUUUGUUUUGUAUAUAUUUGUCAAUAAUUAAAUUCACUAUUGUUACAUUUUAUGAUUUGUCUGUCAAUCAAUGACUGCACUGAAUAAUUAAUGUGUCAUGAC